CCUUCCUUUGUUCAGUUGUCAGAUCGUCGUCGUAUCCUGGUUUCUUGGACCUGUGAGUUCUGGAGGCUUUGUUUCCCCUUGUACCUUGCCUGUCUGUGGCUUUUGCCUGCUCGCUGUUGGACUUGUUUUUCGGUUUUGGACUGCUUAUCUGCUUAGAGUUGCUUUUACCCACCAAUUCAAUGCCAAGCAUGGGGUCCCUUUUGACUGGCAACCCAAUGAAAAUGGCCCUGGAGGGCAGGAGCGUGAGACCAGCUGAACCUGGGAGGGGGGACAUUUCAACAGAGCGGGCUGGAAUAACAGACAGAUCUGUCCAACAACAAUUCAUCCUGUCUUUCCUUUCCCUCUGCCCAGAAGAGAGCUCACUAAGUAUACAUAUAGGAACUUAGCAGAAGCAAAAGAAGUAUAGGAACUGCAUUGGCUGUCAGUCUAGAGAAUAUACAGACCCUGUCCUCUAAAGCAGUGAUUCCCAACAUUUCUUUUCAGACGUACCUCCGCAGCCCUAUCAGAUGAACUGAAGUGCCCCCUUUAUUAACACUAACCAUGUUUCAAAUGUGUUUAUAUGAACCAAUUUUUAAACUGGAUCGUUUAAUGCUAUUAACUAUAUAAAAGUACAUUUGUACUAUUAGUGGCAGAAGCUAAACAUUUCAACCAUUUAGCCAGGGACUGGGAUUAUAAUUCAAGCUAAAUCAGGUAAAUCUAGUCAGCCCAGGCCAAUCGCCACACAUUCACAACAGACCAUGUGUACUGUAACCAUUUUGUUGAAAUUUUUGUUCUGUUUAUGCUAGUAACAUUUUAUUUUUAUUACUACACACAAACACUGCUUCAAAAAACAUCCAAAAUAGUUCAAAAUCAACUCUUUAAAACGCUAACAAUGUCCCUUGCUUGUGAAUCUAUAAUUUGACAUCAUUUAGCUGCACUUCCCUCCAGGGCUUUUCUCCCUGACAAUUUUCUUUUUCAAAUAAUACAGUUGUGGUUAUAUCUUCAUUGAGUUUCCUCAAAUGUGUGAAACAGUGCUAAAUGUCAGCCUGUGUGUGGGCAAACAGAUUACUGCACCCUUACCAACAUCUACUGAAAGGUGAAGCUGGCAACCUUUGAUCAAAAUAGUUCAAAGUAUCAAACAAUCACAUGCAGUCAUCAUACCUCUGCAUAUCUGAACGGACAAACUGUUCUGUAGUGAUCUCCUUAAGAUCACAGCAUAGAGAUCAUAAUAUACUGUAGGUUGUUUGCUUGGACACUGAAGCUAUUGUUAGUGUGCUGUCUACAUGGAUUGAAGUUAUUGGUUGUUAUGAUUUGACUGAGCCUGUACAGUAUGUCUGCUAGUUGCUUCAUAAUUUUUUUUUUUUUUUUUAAGCUGUGCUGUUAAUGAGUAAUCUAAAAGUAACUAGAAUACUGUAGGCCUUGUAUGCUUUUUUGUUUUGUAUCUUAUGCAUAAGAGGUCAAGUCAUGUAUUUGAAACACAAUAAAUGGCUGCCUUUAU